CGGGGGGAGCAAGCGUUGUUCGGAUUUACUGGGCGUAAAGGGCGCGUAGGCUGCGGGGCAAGUCGGGUGUGAAAUCUCAGAGCUCAACUCUGAAACUGCACUCGAUACUGCUUUGCUCGAGGACUGGAGAGGAGAUUGGAAUUCACGGUGUAGCAGUGAAAUGCGUAGAUAUCGUGAGGAAGACCAGUGGCGAAGGCGGAUCUCUGGACAGUUCCUGACGCUGAGGCGCGAAGGCCGGGGGAGCAAACGGG
rnacentral:rRNA from 1 species